UAUAAUUUGUUUGUAUUCAAUAGACAAUAGGUAGUGGACAUGUUACUAUACUGGUAUAAAUACCAAAGUUUCACACCAAUGAAAUACACAGAAAAUUCUCCUAAUUUUGAUCUUUCAAAAAUUCUACAUGGUAUCAGAGCAGUAGCUCUAAAGCAUCGAUCCUUUAGUUUUUUUUCUGUUCAUUUUUAUCUUCACUCUCCUGUCUUCAAUGGGUUCUAUUCCUGAAACAACUGAGGUCAGUUCAGCAAAUGUCACCACUUCUGCAAAUAAUGGAGGUGGAAUGAAGGACUCAAGUCAUCCUUACUUCCUUCACCCCUCAGAUUCACCCGGAAUGAACUUGGUAAACACAAACUUUGAUGGUAGAAGCUAUGGAGGGUGGCGCAGGUCCAUUCUUAUUGCUCUUUCUGCCAAAAACAAGGUGGGGUUCAUAGAUGGAACCUGCCUUGCACCAAGCUCAGAAACACCUGACUUCAAGUUAUGGAAUAGGUGUAAUGACAUGGUCAUAUCUUGGUUGUUGAACUCCCUUUCCAGAGAGAUUGGUGAAAGUGUUAUCUAUUCCAAAACAGCCUAACAUCUGUGGGAUGAUUUGGAAGAUAGAUUUGGUCAAUCAAAUGGUGCAAAAAUGUAUCAUUUACAAAAAGAGUUGAGUGAUUUGGUUCAGGGGUCAAGCAACAUAGCAGGGUAUUUCACUAAGAUUAAGAGGCUAUGGGAUGAGCUAGAUACCUUGAAUACACAUGUCAACUGCUCAUGUGAAUGUAGUUGUGGAGGAAAGAUGAAAAUGUCCAAAUCACUCCAGGAUGAGAGGUUAAUUAAGUUUCUCAUGGGGUUGAAUGACACCUAUGCCUCAGUGAAGAGUAGUAUCUUGAUGUUGUCACCCCUUCCAACUGUGGGACAUGCAUAUUCCCUGUUGAUGCAAGAUGAGAAACAAAGGGAAGUUUAUGUCAACUCUCAAUUCCCUGGAGAUUCUUCAUCCUUCAUGGCUGCAAAUCAAAAUCAUCCAAGUCAGAAGUUUGGAAACUCUUAUUUCAAGGGAAAGAAGAACAAUUUGAGCUGCUCUUACUAUAAAAAACCUGGGCAUUCAGUGGAUAAAUGCUACAGGAUCAUUGGAUUUCCAGCAGACUUCAAGUUCACAAGGUCAAAGAAGUUCCAAGCACCUGUUAAGAGCAAUGCAGCAUAUUUUGACAGUGAAGUAGGAGAGCAGAGCAUUGUUGAUGGAAGCAAUGGAAAUCAACAACUCACACAAAGUCAAGUUUCUCAGCUAGUUCAACUUCUUCAAUAGGUGAAGGGUAGUCAGACAGUGUCUUCAAGCUCAGAUGUUGGUGCAAAUGCUGCCAACUGUGCAGGUAUAUCCUUUAAUGGUUCAACUUCUAAAUCUUCUAAUUUCAAAAUCACCUUUUGGAUAUUGGAUUCAGGAGCUUCUGAACAUAUGUAUUCAGACCCUACAAUUUUUUCCACAAUCAAACCUCUUCCAAAACCUUUAAUGGUAAAUCUUCCUAAUUCAUAUAGAAUAAAAGUGACUCACAUUGGAGAUGUAUCUAUUCCCGGUAAUCUGACUCUAAAAGAUGUCUAAUAUGUGCCUUCUUUCAAAUACAAUCUACUUUCAGUUCAAAAAAUUUGCAAACAAUACAAUUGUCUUCUAAUCUUCUCCGCUACUGCAUGCAUGAUACAUGGCCUAUCAAUGAGGAUCCCUCAGGGUCUUGGUGAAGCAAAAUGGGACAUCUAUCUGCUAGAUUCUUCAAGCCAUAGGCCUAAGAAGUCAUCUAACAACAAUGUAGUUUCAUUACCUAAAGCAAGACAAUCUAGUCAUGUUAUUUCCCUUUCUUCAGUUUCUUUUCCUGAAAAGGUUAAUUCCAAUGUAAGGCUAUGGCAUCUUAGAUUAGGCCAUAUGCCAUUUUCUGCAAUGAAAAACAUUAAUAUGCCAUCUAUUUUCCCUUCUAUAUCCAAUGUUAACUAUCAAUGCGAUAUCUGUCCUUUAGCUAGACAAACAAGAAUUCCCUUUCAUUCAAGCAAUAUCAUCAGCAAACAUAUCUUUGAACUAAUUCAUAUUGAUACAUGAGGGCCAUAUAGGACAACUACCUAUAAUGGAUAUAGAUAUUUUCUUACCAUCAUUGAUGAUUAUAGUAGGGGAACUUGGACUUUUCUUUUAAGCACAAAAAGUAACGCUUUUUCAGUAUUAAAAGACUUCUUGGCCAUGGUAGAAAGACAAUUUUCCACCAAAGUUAAAAUUAUCAGAUCAGACAAUGCACUAGAAUUGGGUACAAGUUUAACAACCUCUGAAUAUUUAGUUUCUCGAGGGAUCAUACACCAAACUUCAUGCACUGCUACCCCUCAACAAAAUGGAGUUGUUGAGAGGAAGCAUAGACACCUUUUAGAAACAUCUAGGGCUCUAUUGCACCAAUCUAAACUUCCUAUUUCAUAUUGGGGAGAAUGCUUACUCACUGCCACUUUUUUGAUCAAUAGAUUUCCUUCAAGAGCCAUUAGGAACAAAACACCUUAUGAGAUUUUGUUUGGUAAAACUCCUAAUUAUGAUUUCCUUAGAUCCUUUGGCUGUUUGUGUUAUGCCUCAACUCUUUCUCAUAACAGGGACAAGUUAGGAGCAAGGGCUAAUGUUUGUGUGUUUAUAGGGUACCUUUAUGAUAAGAAGGGAUACAAACUGCUAGAUUUUAAUACUAAGAAGAUCUUUGUUUCUAGAGACGUGCAAUUCCAUGAAUCUAUUUACCCAUUUUCUCUACAAUCAAGUUCUCUUCCUAUGUUCCCUGGAUUUUUUCCACUUAUUGAUUUGGUUGACAGUAAUUCUGAUGUCAUCCAUUGUCCUUUCAAUUCCACUCAUCCUAUUUGUGAUACUCCUAAUCCAGUUCAUUCUUCUACUCCCAUUUCUCCUUCUAGUCCUACUUCAAACCAAAGAUCAGAAUCUCCAAUUUAUCCUACAUCAGAGUUAGAUCAUUCACAACAAGGUACAUCUCUACUAGUCUUGAGAAGAUCAGAAAGACCUCAUACUAGACCAACCUAUUUACAUGAUUAUGUUUGCAGUAAUGUUUACUUGACUACUUUAACUGAUUCAUGUUUCAAUCAACCUGUUAAUCCUACCAUUUUUUCCUUUGCUGGACUUUCCACUAUCAAUCAACAUCUUAUCAACUCUAUUUCAAAUAUAGUUGAACCUACUAGUUUUUACCAAGCUAAUAUGCAUCCUGGUUGGCAACAAGCAAUGGACACUAAGUUUAAAGCACUAGAAGCCAACCAAACUUGGGAAAUUGUGGAAUUACCACAUGGAAAAAAGGCUCUCCCUUGCAAGUGGGUUUAUAAAGUAAAACAUAAUGCAGAUGGAAGUGUAGAAAGGUUGAAGGCUAGGUUGGUUAUUCGAGGUGACAUUCAAAGAGAAGGGAUUGACUUUAACGAGACAUUUUCCCCAGUGGUAAAAAUGACUACCAUACGAUGCCUUCUAGCUAUUGCUAUAAAGAAAGGAUGGGGCAUCUCACAGCUAGAUGUAAACAACGCAUUCUUACAUGGUGAAUUACAUGAAGAGGUAUAUAUGAAGUUUCCAGCAGGAAAAAUUCCACCUAAUCCCAACCAUGUGUGUUUAAUUCGCAAAUCACUUUAUGGUUUGAAGCAAGCCUCGCGCCAAUGGUAUGCCAGGCUAACAGCCGCAUUAAGUUUCAAAGGGUUUCAUUCAUCUCUUAAUGACUGCUCACUCUUUUACAAGAAAUAAAUAGAUUCAAUUUCAAUUGUCGCAGUUUACGUAGAUGACAUACUACUUACAGGAAAUAACAAGGAAGAACUUCAUCAAUUGAAACAAUUUCUUCACCAGGAAUUUCAGAUCAAGGACCUAGGUGACUUACACUAUAUUUUGGGUCUGGAGACUCUUCGUGAGCCACAAGGUUUAAUCAUCAGUCAACGGAAAUUCACCUUGGAAGUUCUUGAAGAAUUUGAUUGUAGUAGUUUGCCAUCUGCCACAUCUCCAUUGGACCCUUCAUGCAAGCUUAGUAGUGAAUCUGGUGACCUUCUUUCCGAUCCAACUGUCUAUCGCCGACUCCUAGGCAAAUUAAAUUAUCUCACUCACACAAGACCAGACCUUUCUUAUCUGGUACAACACCUCAGUCAAUUCAUGUAGCAGCCCCGUGUGCCUCAUUUUAAUGCUGCCCUACGGGUGGUUAGAUAUCUCAGAACCAACCCUGGACAGGGUAUUUUCAUGUCCACUGAUCCCUCCUUCACACUACUUGCAUUUUGUGAUGCAGAUUGGGGAUCUUAUGUUGAUACACGACGAUCUAUAAGUGGGUAUUUUGUCACUCUCGGCGGAUCUCCAAUUUCAUGGAAAUCAAAUAAGCAAGCUUCAGUAUUGCUCUCAUCCGCCGAAGCAGAGUAUCGAUCUAUGAGGCGAGUAGUUGCUGAAGUCACUUGGCUAACUCGACUCUUGACAGAUCUAGCUACACCACCUUCUCUUCCGGUUUCUAUUCACUCUGAUUCACAAGCUACAAUUCACAUCGCUCGGAACCCUGUAUUCCAUGAGCGAACAAAGCACGUUGAACUUGAUUGCCAUUUUGUGAGGCAACAAUUUCUCUCUGGUUUGAUUUCUCUGUCAUUUGUUCCAUCAUCCCCUCAAUUAGCCGAUAUCUUCACCAAACCGCUCUCCGGGCCAUCCCAUAAUUCGAUUCUUGGCAAGUUGGGCGUCGCUACACUCCCCUCCAACUUGAGGGGGGUGUUGGAAUCUCAUCUAUGAAGACUAGUUUGAUAUAAAGAGGACAGUGGCAAAAUGGAUUUGGGGAUAGGGUCCAGAAACAGAAAAAUGGUCCAACAAUUGAAGACCCAAACCCAAAUUCUGAUUGGAAACAUAAUAGCUGUCAAAUUGGAAACAAAACAUAGUUG
rnacentral:lncRNA from 1 species